CCUCGGAUCAGGUAGGGAUACCCGCUGAACUUAAGCAUAUAA
rnacentral:rRNA from 1 species